GGAAUGGCGCAGCCUCUGGCUGACAUCCUUGAGUCUCAGAAAGGAAUCUUGCAGCCUCUGGCUGACAUCCUUGAGUCUCAGAAAGGAACUGUUCUGGAGAAUCGUGUUGGUGCAAUCGCAGUCAAGAUGUGGAGCAGAACUGUGACAAAGAUCCAUCCAAAACGCUCUAUGAUCAAUGACACAUUAUAAUAGUCAGGUAACAAUCGCUGGAAAGACAUGCUAUACCAUAAAA